GCUAUCGAGAAGAACGAUCCAAGGUUGAUCCCAGUGGAUGCUUGUAGAGGUCAGGCACAUGCAUGGCUCAACAGUGAAUCUCCUUCAGAUCCAUAUUUUUUCGAAUUGCGAUAUUCAUCUACCUGUGUAAGGUAAUAAAUGGUUUAUCACAACAACCUUUUUGCAUGCUGUCUUUUUUACUUGUGUUCUGAUUCAGAUCUAAGCAUCAUAUUCC
rnacentral:lncRNA from 1 species